UACGUAGGCAGCAAGCGUUGUUCGGAGUUACUGGGCGUAAAGGGUGUGUAGGCGGUUGGAUAAGUGUGGUGUGAAAUCUCCCGGCUCAACUGGGAGGGUGCGCUACAAACUGUCUGACUAGAGUGUGGGAUGGGUAAGUGGAAUUCCUGGUGUAGCGGUGAAAUGCGUAGAUAUCAGGAGGAACACCGGUGGUGUAGACGGCUUACUGGACCGGUACUGACGCUGAUGCGCGAAAGCGUGGGGAGCAAACGGG
rnacentral:rRNA from 1 species